rnacentral:tRNA from 1 species
CAGAAUUUAGUUUAUAGAAAAUAAUUCUUUUACAUUGAAUAGAAUUUAAGUGCGAUCUUUAAUUUCUGA